ensembl:lncRNA
CUAUUAGGAAAUUGGAAUAAAACUUGUGACCAACUCUGAGGUGAAGAAACCAGCCGCCUGUUUGUACCCUCAAUAUCAGCAUUCUGAUAUGGAAUAUGAUGUGAAAUAUAUGCUAUAUGAUGCAGGUAGGUUCCUUGAUAUCGGCGGAACUUUGAGGAUGUUAAGCAAUGUCUAAUUUACAUGCCUGACACUGAAAAUCACCUCCAUUCAAGGAUAUUGUUCAAUGUAAUGUACUCUGACACAUUCUGUUUGUCAGUUGUUCAAGGAUCCGACUCAUCAACUCACUUGAAGCCCAUGAAAAAAAAACGGGAAAAAAUUAAAACUGUGAGAAGCUACUUCCCUGACACCUGGAUCUGGGAGCUGAUCCCUGUCGGGUUAGUGCUCUACUCCUGAAACCUGGAUCUGCUGGGUCAGUGCUGGGAUCUGAUCCCUGUUGGGUUAGUGCUGGGAUCUGAUCCCUGUUGGGUCAUGCUGGGAUCUGAUCCCGUUUGGUUAGUGCUCUACUCUUCAGGUUAAAGCUCCACUAAUUAGAGAAGUAUGUUGCUAAAUUGAAAUAAUGGGCAGGAUGUCUGCAGAAGUACGAUAAUUGGCAAGAGUUACAAGUAUCUCAUUUUAAAAUGGAACUGAAACCAUUUCAGUAAAAAUAACAUCUCCCACCCCUCAGAAAGAGCCUGGGUCCCCCAA